UUGAAGAGUUUGAUCAUGGCUCAGAUUGAACGCUGGCGGCAGGCCUAACACAUGCAAGUCGAACG
rnacentral:rRNA from 1 species